rnacentral:rRNA from 1 species
CACGUAGGGCGCGAGCGUUGUCCGGAAUUAUUGGGCGUAAAGAGCUCGUAGGCGGUUCGUCGCGGUCGGCUGUGAAAUCCCGGAGCUCAACUCCGGGUCUGCAGUCGAUACGGGCGGACUUGAGUUCGGCAGGGGAGACUGGAAUUCCUGGGUGUAGCGGUGAAAUGACGGCAGAUAUCAGGAGGAACACCGGUGGCGAAGGCGGGUCUCUGGGCCGAUACUGACGCUGGAGGAGCGAAAGCCGUUGGGGGAGCGAACAGG